rnacentral:lncRNA from 1 species
AAGAGGCCAGCGGGUGAACGGGGGCCAGAUGUUCAGGACCUUUACCCUAGAAAAGAAAAGCUGAUGGUUUGCCAAAAGAAAAUGAACUCCAAACUCUUGGGGUCUGAACUGGGUUCAAGCAUCAGAUCCAGGGGAGCCCAGGGGGAUGCUGCUUAGUCAGGGGCCUCAAAUGUUCUCUGCACAAGCCAGGACUGCUGUAACCAAGUACCAUGAAGUGCAUGGCUUAAAACAACAGCAAUGCUUUCUCUCACAGUUCUAGAGGUAGAAGCAUGAAGCCAGCUAUUGACAGGAGCAUGCUCCCACUGAAGAUAGCAAGGAGGGUGUUCAGAAAGAGGAGAGAGAGGAAGCUAAAGAGAAAAGUAAAUGAAACCAGAAUGGCCUUCUCCCCAGGACCUCCAUCCUGAGCCUUGCAGCGAGAGUGAAGAAGCAUCUGAGCUGUCCUCCAGGGACAAGCAAGGAAAAGGAUCCCCCAUUUUGGGGAGAAUCACGUGAGGUUGCAUCUGUCUUCAUGAGGACUAUUUCCCCAGCACCUAGCGAGGGCCUGGCCCUGAGUCCACGAGGUGGAAGUUGGUUGAAUGAAUGGAUGGAAGAUUGUGGAGCAGAUGCUAGGCCUUACUAGUGCUCGGCCCGAAUACCUACUGCUCGGGGCCUUCUCUGGCUGCCACACCCAUGGGGGCAGCCCCCAUCUUGUGACUGCAUUGGGUAUAAAUACCCCGGCUCUCACCUGAGACAUUCUAUGUGACUCCAGAGUUUCCCAGGUGUGAAGUCCCCUUGACUUUCA